AAAUCUCCCCCUAUAUGUUCAGUGAGGUCAGGAGAAUGAUAUAGAGGCUCUAUAUGAACACUGUGCAAAGAGAAGUGGCUAAAACAAAACGGAGUAAUUGAGAAAUAAGGUACCAAUUAUCCAAGGAUCAACAUUUUUUACCAACACUGGCAUCAAAAUUUGACAGCUGUCAAAACAGACUUAUUCCCGGAUGUAAAUUGCCGACUUUGGAAAUGUUAAUGAAACGUCUGGCAUAUUGAUCGUUCAGGAAGAAGAACAGUAGUCGUAUGGCAGAGCUAUCAAUAAAGAUGA